GAGUUUGAUCGUGGCUCAGAUUGAACGCUGGCGGCAGGCUUAACACAUGCAAGUCGAGCGGGGGAGAUUGCUUCGGUAAUUGACCUGGCGGCGGACGGGUGAGUAAUACUUAGGAAUCUGCCUAUUAAUGGGGGACAACAUCUCGAAAGGGAUGCUAAUACCGCAUACGCCCUACGGGGAAAGCAGGGGAUCACUUGUGACCUUGCGUUAAUAGAUGAGCCUAAGUCGGAUUAGCUAGUUGGUGGGGUAAAGGCCUACCAAGGCGACGAUCUGUAGCGGGUCUGAGAGGAUGAUCCGCCACACUGGGACUGAGACACGGCCCAGACUCCUACGGGAGGCAGCAGUGGGGAAUAUUGGACAAUGGGGGAACCCUGAUCCAGCCAUGCCGCGUGUGUGAAGAAGGCCUUAUGGUUGUAAAGCACUUUAAGCGAGGAGGAGGCUCCUGUAGUUAAUACCUACAGAGAGUGGACGUUACUCGCAGAAUAAGCACCGGCUAACUCUGUGCCGGCAGCCGCCGACCG
rnacentral:rRNA from 1 species